rfam:Xenopus tropicalis strain Nigerian Chr01_contig_1905, whole genome shotgun sequence.
CAGUUACUGUUGCCUAUGUGCAAACUCUGUGCUAUAUUGUCUAGAAUUGCACUGUAGCAAUGGUGACUG